UUUAAGUGUUCACUUUUCAUGGAUUUCAGCCAGUGUUAUGUCUAAUGGGCUGUGGAUAUGGGUUUGUGCCGUAACUGAGAUGUGAUGACAACUACUGGGAAUCAUGGAUUGUGAUAGUGUGGCCAUUGAAGUUGAAACUUUGCUCCAAUAAAAGACUGUUGCAGC